UAUUUUGUCCAUAUUAGUGUGAGCCUGCUUCCUCCACGAAGUUUUGCUGUAUCCUCUGGUUGCUUGAGUUGUUUUUACUCUUCACUUUCAUUUUUAUUCUCCUUCGGUGCAGGACUGUGUAGAGUUGGGCUCUGUAGCUUUAAGGAAGCAUUGCACCUUGGGAAUUCAGCCUUCACACAAGGUUAGUGUUGACAACCUAGCCUGUUGGGAGCUGGAGCUUCUAUUUUAGACCGAGGAUUAUGUGAAGAUCAUACCCAGGAACCAGCACUUGAUUUCGGAUGCAAAAAGCAGGGCCCCUCGGUCGGAAAUCAUCAGAGGAAAAAGAAGCUUAGCAGAAGCGCGUUAUACAAAGCAGGAAACAUGUAUGCCAGAUGAUGUGCCCUUUUUAUAGAUGCUGAUAAUGAUAUCUUCCUGGAAGGCCUCCAUCAACACCAUAAACACCUACUUUCCAGGGGAGGCACAACAGAGAACAGCAGGCAGCAUUGUGGGUUGACCUUGUCCAUGACGUGCAUGCCAUAGGUCAACAGAGCAGGACAUAUGAGCAGGUUCAACACUGUGUCAUGGAUAUGAUUAAUGCUGUACGCAGAAGAGCAGCAGAUGUGGCCAAGGAUCGUGGUGUCACCAGUGGAGGCCCCGCAGCAGAACAAUCACUCUCAGCCACUGAAGAAUUCCUAGGAAAUCAUGACAGCUCCCAGACAUACAUCACACCAUAAAUCGUGGAUUUUGGUGCCGCAGUUUCCAUGGCAGAGGAGCGUCCAGGUUAGCAAGAUCUUGAAAAUCAUUACUCCAUUCUGUGAGAAAUUUAGAAACUCGUCCAACUUUCAAGAAAGGAUUAGACUUUUGGUGCACUUUGUUUAUUACCCAGGGUUGAUUAGUGGCAGAUUCUUAAAAUAACCUUAACUCACUCAAGCCUAUAACAUAAUUUUUCUAUACUUCCACUGCAAAUACUUAACUUCUUUUGGCAUGCUGACCCUUUUGUACAUGGUUUAUUUAUCCAAGUGGCUUACUUGCUAAUAAAAGAAAGUAUUAGAAAUUGCAAAAUAAAUAAAUAAAUAACAAAAUGACACUAAGGUAGUUUGCCUAGGAUGUCCUGAAGUAGAGAAAUCAAUUAAUUGUUUAGCCACUUUUUGAUAUUUUGCUAUUCAUGUUCAUAUUUUCAUAGCUGAGAUCUUUACAUUUCAUUGAUCAAUCAGUGUGAACACCAUGGUAAGAGGUAUGAAAAUUCAUUGCCAAUGUUCAUUUAUAUUACUAAUUAUGAAAAUAAACAUUUCCAUAUGUACUUAAUACUCACAAAAUCAAGUGACUUACAAAUUGUUGUAAGACAUCAGCUGAAACAUUACAUAUGCUUGAAGAAAACUACCUUUGAUAUUUGCACUGUAAAUUAUACACCUUUAAAGAUAUUCAGUGUUUUUCAUAUAGCUAAUUAUACAAUUAUGCAUAUGCUUUCAGAUUUCUGUAAAUAUGUCAAUAAACAUACACUCAUACAGGAAUUUCUUAUAGCAAAGUGAAACCUUAUGUCUGGUUAAAAAUGUUCCAAUAAUGUAUGUCUGGACAUAGUUUCUAAAAUAUGACAAAUUGUUUGUGAAAGUUUAACAAAAAUAUAAUUUGGGGUUUGUGUGUGUUAUAAUAUAUUAUACUAUUUAUGGAAAGAUUAUGAAAGCACUGAAUAUUAUCAC